AUUGAACGCUGGCGGCAUGCCUUACACAUGCAAAUCGAACGGUAACGGGCCUUCGGGUGCCGACGAGUGGCGAACGGGUGAGUAAUACAUCGGAACGUGCCCGAUCGUGGGGGAUAACGAGGCGAAAGCUUUGCUAAUACCGCAUACGAUCUACGGAUGAAAGCAGGGGACCGCAAGGCCUUGCGCGGACGGGGCGGCCGAUGGCAGAUUAGGUAGUUGGUGGGAUAAAAGCUUACCAAGCCGACGAUCUGUAGCUGGUCUGAGAGGAUGAUCAGCCACACUGGGACUGAGACACGGCCCAGACUCCUACGGGAGGCAGCAGUGGGGAAUUUUGGACAAUGGGCGCAAGCCUGAUCCAGCCAUGCCGCGUGCAGGAUGAAGGCCUUCGGGUUGUAAACUGAUUUUGUACGGAACGAAAAGCCUUCUUUUAAUACAGGAGGGUCAUGACGGUACCGUAAGAAUAAGCACCUGCUAACUACGUG
rnacentral:rRNA from 1 species